GCGGCGUGCUUAACACAUGCAAGUCGAACGAUGAAGCCCAGCUUGCUGGGUGGAUUAGUGGCGAACGGGUGAGUAACACGUGAGUAACCUGCCCUUGACUCUGGGAUAAGCGCUGGAAACGGCGUCUAAUACCGGAUACGACCUACCCCGGCAUCGGGUGUGGGUGGAAAGUUUUUCGGUCAAGGAUGGACUCGCGGCCUAUCAGCUUGUUGGUGAGGUAAUGGCUCACCAAGGCGACGACGGGUAGCCGGCCUGAGAGGGUGACCGGCCACACUGGGACUGAGACACGGCCCAGACUCCUACGGGAGGCAGCAGUGGGGAAUAUUGCACAAUGGGCGAAAGCCUGAUGCAGCAACGCCGCGUGAGGGAUGACGGCCUUCGGGUUGUAAACCUCUUUUAGUAGGGAAGAAGGGCUUCGGCUUGACGGUACCUGCAGAAAAAGCACCGGCUAACUACGUGCCAGCAGCCGCGGUAAUACGUAGGGUGCAAGCGUUGUCCGGAAUUAUUGGGCGUAAAGAGCUCGUAGGCGGUUUGUCGCGUCUGCUGUGAAAACCCGAGGCUCAACCUCGGGCCUGCAGUGGGUACGGGCAGACUAGAGUGCGGUAGGGGAGAAUGGAAUUCCUGGUGUAGCGGUGGAAUGCGCAGAUAUCAGGAGGAACACCGAUGGCGAAGGCAGUUCUCUGGGCCGUAACUGACGCUGAGGAGCGAAAGCGUGGGGAGCGAACAGGAUUAGAUACCCUGGUAGUCCACGCCGUAAACGUUGGGCGCUAGAUGUGGGGACCUUUCCACGGUUUCCGUGUCGCAGCUAACGCAUUAAGCGCCCCGCCUGGGGAGUACGGCCGCAAGGCUAAGACUCAAAGGAAUUGACGGGGGCCCGCACAAGCGGCGGAGCAUGCGGAUUAAUUCGAUGCAACGCGAAGAACCUUACCAAGGCUUGACAUAUACGAGAACGGGCCAGAAAUGGUCAACUCUUUGGACACUCGUAAACAGGUGGUGCACGGUUGUCGUCAGCUCGUGUCGUGAGAUGUUGGGUUAAGUCCCGCAACGAGCGCAACCCUCGUUCUAUGUUGCCAGCACGUUAUGGUGGGAACUCAUAGGAGACUGCCGGGGUCAACUCGGAGGAAGGUGGGGAUGACGUCAAAUCAUCAUGCCCCUUAUGUCUUGGGCUUCACGCAUGCUACAAUGGCCGGUACAAAGGGCUGCGAUACCGUAAGGUGGAGCGAAUCCCAAAAAGCCGGUCUCAGUUCGGAUUGAGGUCUGCAACUCGACCUCAUGAAGUCGGAGUCGCUAGUAAUCGCAGAUCAGCAACGCUGCGGUGAAUACGUUCCCGGGCCUUGUACACACCGCCCGUCAAGUCAUGAAAGUCGGUAACACCCGAAGCCGGUGGCCUAACCUUUUGGAGGGAGCCGUCGAAGGUGGGAUCGGUGAUUAGGACUAAG
rnacentral:rRNA from 1 species